rnacentral:rRNA from 1 species
UACAGAGGGGGCAAGCGUUGUUCGGAAUUACUGGGCGUAAAGGGCGCGUAGGCGGCCUUCUAAGUCGAACGUGAAAUCCCCGGGCUCAACCCGGGAACUGCGUCCGAUACUGGAAGGCUUGAAUCCGGGAGAGGGAUGCGGAAUUCCAGGUGUAGCGGUGAAAUGCGUAGAUAUCUGGAGGAACACCGGUGGCGAAGGCGGCAUCCUGGACCAUUAUUGACGCUGAGGAGCGAAAGCCAGGGGAGCAAACGGG